GGAAGCAGUUUGCUGCUUUGCUGACGAGUGGCGGACGGGUGAGUAAUGUCUGGGAAACUGCCUGAUGGAGGGGGAUAACUACUGGAAACGGUGGCUAAUACCGCAUAACGUCGCAAGACCAAAGAGGGGGACCUUCGGGCCUCUUGCCAUCAGAUGUGCCCAGAUGGGAUUAGCUAGUUGGUGAGGUAACGGCUCACCAAGGCGACGAUCCCUAGCUGGUCUGAGAGGAUGACCAGCCACACUGGAACUGAGACACGGUCCAGACUCCUACGGGAGGCAGCAGUGGGGAAUAUUGCACAAUGGGCGCAAGCCUGAUGCAGCCAUGCCGCGUGUAUGAAGAAGGCCUUCGGGUUGUAAAGUACUUUCAGCGGGGAGGAAGGUGUUGUGGUUAAUAACCGCAG
rnacentral:rRNA from 1 species